UUUGAUCUGGCUCAGGACGAACGCUGGCGGCGUGCUUAACACAUGCAAGUCGAACAAAGAUGCCCAGCUUGCUGGGCGGAUUAGUGGCGAACGGGUGAGUAAUACGUGAGUAACCUGCCCUUGACUCUGGGAUAAGCCUGGGAAACUGGGUCUAAUACUGGAUACUACCUCUUACCGCAUGGUGGGUGGUGGAAAGGGUUUUACUGGUUUUGGAUGGGCUCACGGCCUAUCAGCUUGUUGGUGGGGUAAUGGCUCACCAAGGCGACGACGGGUAGCCGGCCUGAGAGGGUGACCGGCCACACUGGGACUGAGACACACGGCCCAGACUCCUACGGGAGGCAGCAGUGGGGAAUAUUGCACAAUGGGCGGAAGCCUGAUGCAGCGACGCCGCGUGAGGGAUGACGGCCUUCGGGUUGUAAACCUCUUUCAGUAGGGAAGAAGCGAGAGUGACGGUACCUGCAGAAGAAGCGCCGGCUAACUACGUGCCAGCAGCCGCGGUAAUACGUAGGGCGCAAGCGUUGUCCGGAAUUAUUGGGCGUAAAGAGCUCGUAGGCGGUUUGUCGCGUCUGCUGUGAAAGCCCGGGGCUCAACCCCGGGUCUGCAGUGGGUACGGGCAGACUAGAGUGCAGUAGGGGAGACUGGAAUUCCUGGUGUAGCGG
rnacentral:rRNA from 1 species